CAUCAGCUAAUACAAAAAGAUCUGUAAGGAGUAGAAACCCCAGAGAAGCGAAUUUGGGAGUUAGAGGUUGGAGCUUACAGAUUCGAAGGUGUAUGAAAGUCGCCGGAGAAAAAGGUAAAAGAUGAGAGAGAGAUCGGAGGAGAGUGGUUUUAAUGCGAAGAUGAGUUGACUAACGGCGCCAUCAUUGAGGAUUUUUGAAGCCAUCGAUGCGCUGAGAUUUGUUUGGAUGUGGGUGGAAUAAGUGAUCAGAGAAGCGGAGAGGAAGUUAUAUAUUGAGAACCUGAGUGAAUCUGAAGAGUUAUAUGCUAGGUGAAACGAAUUCAUUAAGAGUGGAUUAAAGAAAUUUAUUGAUCGUUGAAGAAAGGGGUCGUUACAGAACUUCAUCGAAAAAACGAAGGAGAAGGGUCGACUUUACGCUUUCAUAUGAAAUAGAUUUGGUGAAUAUGAACUGAUAUGGGUUU
rnacentral:lncRNA from 1 species